rnacentral:tRNA from 1 species
GGGCCUAUAGCUCAGUUGGUUAGAGCAAUCGCUUGAUAAGCGAUAGGUCGGUGGUUCGAGUCCACCUAGGCCCACCA